AUGGGGAAGAACCAGGCGUACAAGGCGAUGCAGUGGGCGCGGCUGGGUUCGUCCUCCGGCGCCUCUCGGCGAAGGGGAGGAAGACGGCAUGGGCCGUCACAGCCGGACGGUUCAUUUCAUUCUCCAGAGUGGCACGCGGUGCGCUUGGUCAGCCUCAACAAGACCCAUACCCUCACGUGGGAAGAGUUCAAGAAGGAGAAGGUUUACCAUAACCUGAAAAUUUUACCAACUGGUUUGUCUGCAGAGUCAUUAGGACGGCAUGAUUGUAAAUGCAGGUCCUAUGCAUCAGAAAUUAGGGAUUAUAACCAGCCCAAACACUCAGAUUCCAGAAGGAGUCCAACCAAAUAA
rnacentral:rRNA from 1 species